rnacentral:lncRNA from 1 species
UGAACGCAAAGGAAAUGAAUGUGGUCGUGGAAUCAAAUGCAUACCAAAGCCAACGCCACGGCCUACUAAGUGUAAAAGAAACAAUCCUUACUGCAGGCCUCCCUGAAUGUGGUAAAAAAUAAAGCUAUGGGCCUAUGGACGAUAUGGAUAUGGGUGAAGUUAUGCUAGUAAUAAAUUAACAAAUAAACAAAGUUUCCCCUCAUGCUUCAUGACCCAUGGCAAUUACCAAUGAAGUUCUUGUAAUGAUCAUAUCAUUACUUUCAUGACUACUAGUUUGUAUGUGUUAUGUUUAUGUUUAAUAAAUUAUGGAGUGUUUUUAUGUUGAAAAAUAUCAAGUACUACUUUGAUUGUGAUAGGUUUAUAUGUUUAUGUUUGAGGAAAUUAUUUCAAAAAUGAAAAUCACAUAAACCAUGAUUUGUACUCCGUUUCAAUUAUUGAUGUUGUAGAAACAAAUAACUUGGUCUGCAGUUGCUCAAAACAGUUUUGUUUUAUCUUCUGCCGGAACAAAAGUUGGAUAAAACUAGAAAGUUGGUGAGUCAAAGGGACAAGUAAAGGGAGAAUGAAUACACAAUAUUUGAGUUCAACUAUUUGCUAAAGCCCAAUUUUUACAAACCACUCCUCCCAAAUACUUUACAUUACAUACAAUAUCUCUCUAUAAAAGUCUAAACAAGGUGUGUCUAACACAUCCUUAAAAUAGCUAAAGAAUAAGUCAAUCAACAACCUAUUUACAGGCUCUCCUUCAACGUGAAUAUCGAUAGCUAGAAGAUGAGUCUUUAUUACAUGUUUAAAUGCUAAAAAUUAUCUUCAUAAGUUAUCUUAGAAAAAUAUUCAAAUAAAUCUCUCUAUAAAACAACCUUCCAUCAACUUGAAAACUCUUAAAAGAUAAAGGAUAAGGAUACUUCUUUCUUUCAUCUCCAAGGCUGUCGGUUGAACGAGGAUAAUUGCUCCAUAUUCUAUCAUGAAAUUAUCUCCUCGUUUGCUGGUUUAAAUCAGAUGUAAUCAAGGCUCUUUAUUGUCAAGAAUCCCAACCUGAAUGAACUUUCACUGAAAUAUGCACAUACUCUAAAAUAUGUCUAAAUAUUUGAUGAGACAAGAAAAGGUUCUAAAAUUGGUUUGAAUGGUCAAAUGCUCUAACAUAAAGCUUAAAAAUUUACAACAAAAUGACAUAAAAAAAAUAACAUUGAAAUUUGAUUUAUAAUAUUAGAAGUUUUGAAGAAGUGGUAAUUAAAUUAAUUAUUAGAAGUGGGAGAAUGAUGCUGGAGAAUCUGUCAAAUUUGAAACUUUUAGUAAGCUAUAAGGCACCAAAACUCCUACUUUUGCGUCGUUUUUAUUGUUAAAAAUUACUCACAAUUCUUUUAGGUAGCGUUUGAGAGUUAAAGGAUUUUAGAAUUUGGAUUUGAAUUUAAAAAAUAAUGCAAAUUGAGUACAUUUAUGUUUAUUUAAUCUAAGCUUUUGUUAGAAGCCUAUUUAUUAAUAAAUUUAAAAUUUUAAUUUUUUUUUGAAUUUGAUAAAUCCAUGCUUUUUUUUUAAUAUAUAUUAGAUUGAAUUUUGACUAAUCUAUCUAUAAUAUAUGCGUUUCAUUCUUACUAGAGUUGUUCACGGGUCGGGACAUAACAAAAUUUUAGGUCCAAUUACUAGGCCUUGAUCUGACCCAAAAAAUGGGCUUAGAUUUUUCCUAAGUUGACUCGGAUAAAAAUGUAAAACUUGGACCCAGUCUGUAUUAAUUUUUUAAUUUAAUUUUUAUAUAAAUAAAUUUAAAAAUAUAAUACACCAAAUACAUUAAAAAUAUUAAAAUAAAAGUUUCCUAAGAAAUUUAAAAAAAAAUUAAAAAAAAAGUCUUUAUACUUAAGUAACACUAAGAUAAGAGCAACUUAACAAGCAAAUGUUUCUAAAAUAGUAGCAAAAUUAACAAUAAAACAAGUAUUAUACAAUAUCCAAAUAUUAACAACAAAAUAAUAACAUAAUAGUGAAAUGGUAGCAAAACAGUGGGAAAAUAGCAGCAAAAGCAGUAGGUUUUUUUAUUGAAAAUCGGGUUGGGUCGGGUCGGGCCAAAAAAUCUUAUUCGAGGCUCGACCCGUUUUUCAAAUGGACUUUUUUUUUGUCCAAGUCUAUUUUCUGAGCCUAUAUUUUUUUUCUAAGUCCUCUCAUUUUUCGAGCGGACCUGACCCAGCCCAUAUACAACUCUAAUUCUUACCAUUUAUAUAAUAAAUGAGAUCUAAAUCCAAAUUUUCAAAUUCUGAAUUUCCAGAAGGAGGAUAAAUAUUUUAUUUGGAAUACUCCUCAACCAUCAAAAGCCCUAAAGAAAAUUCUAUCUUACAAUAUUUUCUAAAUUUUUCCUUCCAAGUUUCUUCAAUGUUACAUCAAUAGCAAGAGGAAGGCAAAAAACAAAGUUCAAGUCUUUCAAACUCUUCUAAAAUAGCAUCUUCAAGAUCUCCUGUAUCGAAAAGGCAAUUAUAGGGAGCCUCAACAAGUAAUGUUCUUGAAGUUGUUGAAAACCCAAUUGAUCCUCCACUAAUUAAAAUUGAACCUACUACUUGUCUAAAGGUAUUUGUUGCUAUGAAUCCUCAAAAACCUCUAGUACAUGACUUUUUUAUUAUUAUCUGAUUUAUUGUUCUACUUCUAAAAAACCAUGAUUGAAGAUUGAAAUCUCUUGGACACAAAGCAACAACAACUAAAGCAGUAGAAGAAGCCUUUGAGCACGUGCACACACACAAAAAAGAAAAACAACUGAUUAAGGAAAGACUUAUUCCAUUUCUAAUGAUAAUGUCCCAUUAUCAGACUUUGUGUCUAAUUAAACUGCCACGUAUAUAUAUAUAAAUUGAAAAGAGUAGGUGUUACUAAGUUAUUAAAAGAAUGUAGAUUGUACUUCUGAACUAAAGAAGUCAAAGUUCCUAAAUGUUAUUUGUACAAAAAAGAAUGAAAAUAAUGGUUGAUACACAUAUUAUAUGUUUAAAGCAAAUUAAUUUUUAUUAAUUUUUAAACUUUAUAUAAUUUAUAAAAAUCAUCUUGAAUUAAUAUGGACAAUGGGUUUUCUAGAUUUACAUUGUACAGGACAAAAAAAAAAUUUCAAAUUCAUUUUGGACUUCACUUCUAAAUGGGCUUUUAUUAAUUUUUAAUUUCUUUUUAAUUUCAUUUAAUAUUUUUUAUAAAUUUUAAUAAUAUUUUAUAUAUUUAUAAAAUUUUUAAAACAUUAAAACUUUAUAAAAAAAUUUAUAAUUUUUUUUUCUUAAAAUAAGCUUUGGAAUGAAUGAACAUAGACAAUUGUAUGUCCAAAGUUAUUCUAGUAAAAAAUUUAAGUAUUCCUUUUAAUUUUUUAUUUUAUGAAAAUUGUAUUUUGCUGACAUGGCACAAUCUAAAAAUUCCAUACGUCUAGCACUUAACACCAUUACAAAAAUGAUACUAAAAUGGAAUGAAAAUUCCACACUAACUUACGAAAAAAUCAUAAAUACCAAUUUAAGAGAAAGUGACAAAUUCAAGAACUAAAUGAGUAUUUAAACUUAUUUAUAUUUAAAUCAAUUUAGACAUGCAUUAAAUUUCUAAUUGUGUUUAAAUGAUAAGAAAUGAAAAAGAAGAUAUAAAAUUUUGAUCGAAAAAUAAACAUAAAAUAAAAAUCACUUACAAUUAUAAAUAAAACCAUUGAUAAAUGUAUUAUGUUAAAUUCCAGGAUAGAUGAAAUAACAGAAAUGAGGUUGAAGCAUCAUUGAGCUCUCAUACAUUGAAUCCUUGAUCACGACGCUUGUGCCUCACCCCAAGGCCUGACGCGCGUCUGUCGCCUUGCACCAAAAGAACAAAGGGCGUCUCUUCUCUCCCCUCCAUUGACUUUGCCGAUGUCUGCAAAAAAAAAAAAAGACAAAGAAAGAACACAGAAACGGCAAGACAAUAGCAGCAGAAACAGUAACAAAUUUGAAUAAUAAACAGUCUAAUAUGGCUAUAAAAGUCAUUACGUAUUAUUUUUUACAGGCAAUCGAAUAAAAAAAACAGAGAAAUAAAUAAAAGAGAAGAUUUCAAAAAAUAUAAAGGUAGUUAUAUAUAUAUAUAUAUAUAUGGUUUGAAAAGCUAUAAUAAAUACAUAAAAAAUAGAGAGAGAGGGGGAGGAUUCUCACUUGUCGUUCCACCUUUCGCCACCGUCGAGGACAACCUUCGGCACCUCAAAUGUCUCAUAACCCAUUAGGGUUUUGACUUCCGACGAAGGUCUGGAACGUGGCGCGACUGAAGGUUUUCCUUCGUGAUUCUUUUUCUUUUUUUUAUUUCAAAAAAUAUUCGGUUGGAUCUGUUUUCUUUUAAUAACUUUUAGAAAGGGACUAAAAGUAAUUUUUUUAUUUUCCGGCCACGAAGGAGGCACAGUGGAGGCUCGCCGGCAUCCGGGCCGAAGAUGGGGAGAACCGAGAGAGAAAGAGAGAACUCUCAGGUUUUUUUUAAAAAACAAAGACAUAAUGAUUUUUUUUAAAGAUUUUUAGCUUUUAUAGGAGAUGUAAAACGACGUCAUCUAGGGCUGGUUUCAAUAGCACGAAAACGGCGCCGUGUUGGCCUUCGACCUGAUUGCCUGUUCCAAGACCUUAGGAUCCGCGUGUUUUUUGUGACUAGGGUAUAAUUGGACAUUAGUCCUUCCAAUUUUUAAGCAGUUUCCAAUGUGGUCCUGUUUCUUUUUUAAUUUAACCAUUUGAUUUUAUCUUAAUUUCAUUUUUGGUCCUUGGCCAUUUUAAGAGAGGGAUACCUGAAACAGAGUCGUUUCAGUUGACUCGAGACCCAACCUGAGAUCCGACCCGAUCCUUUAAUAGGAUCCGCGUGUUUUUAAAAAAGGGGCCUAUUUGCGCUUUCAACCUUCUUCCUUUUAAGUCAUUUUAAUUAGGUCCUAAUUUCACUAUUUUCUUUUUUAGAAAGUUUCCAUUUAAUUUUACACCGCUUUCAACUAAGUCCUCGAAUCGCUGAAGGUACGCGUGUCCUUAGGAUUGGGAUAAUUCCUCAAUUGGUCCUUGUUUGUUUUCACACUUUUCAUUUUAGUAUGUUAUUUAUUUAUUUAUUUUAUCUUAAUUCAUUCUUUUAAUUUAAUUUAAAUGACAAUUAGACCCUUUAUUUAUUUUAAUUCUUUUAAUUAUUUACUUGUUUGCUUAUUUAUUAUUCCUUCACUUUUGGUUUAUGUUUAAAAUUGUAUUUCUUAUUAUUUUCUUUUCAUCGAGCAUUUAUUUAUUUAUUCAUUUUAUUUUAUUAUUUAUUUAUUUAUUUACUUAUUAUUCCUUUGUAUACAUGCAUAAGAAUUGGAUUGUGCAUAUGCUUUUAUUGGUACAUUUUUGUUUAUUACUAUCAUUCAUUGUUUUAUUUUUAUUUUUAAGCAUGUUAUUGUUAUUUUAUUUCUCUCAGCAUUUUUAUGUCAUGUCCAUUUAUCUUUUUAAUCAUGCAUCGUCCAUUUUUUAUUUACCUUAAAAUACUUCAUUUAAUCAUUAUUACUAUAAUACGAUUAUUAAUAUUAAUAGUAUUAUUAUAAUUAUGUUAUUAUAAUAAUAUUCUUUUAUUUCACUUAUUAUUUAUUAUUCUAUCUACAUAGUUGUUUUAAAUUAUCUCAUUUUCACCAUAUCAUACAUUAAGGUUCAAACAUUUAUCCAUUUGUAUAUCAUGCCCGAAUAAAUUAAAAACACAUCACCUUAAGUGUUUGUUUUUUUACACGAUGCAUAAAAAAAGAAUUUUUUUUAAACCGAGGCAAAUGUUCAUUAUUUCGAAUUUAGAAAAGUUGUGUUCCUAACGUACAGAAUAUGACUUCCUUCUAAAACCGAGAUAGUUGAAUAUUUAUUUUAAAAUAAAUAAAAACGAGAUUUAAGUAAUGAUCAAUUGGUGUUUAUUCUCGUUUUCGAGGUUUUAAGGCAUUGUGUCCUAACACACGGGACGUGAUCCUUUUUCUCGAUUAACUUGAAAUAAGCCCUUCUUGAGAAAAUUACUUUGGUUAGAUAAUGCCUUAAUACAAAAAGGAUCGUGUUUUAAACUCUUUUCAAAUUUUCAAUUCACAACACUAAGACAUUAAUAAAUCAACUAGGUACCAAUUUUGGGUGUUACGAGGGUGCUAAUCCUUCCUCAUGCAUAACCGACUUCCGAACCCAUUUUUUGAAUCUUGUAGACAAAAAAUCAUUAUUUUAGUAAAUCAAACCAUUUAUUAAAACGAUCAAAUUACGAGGUGAUCCAAUCACACACACCUCAUAAAAAGGGAUCGGUGGAGACUCCCAUUUUCGUCUUUUUCUUAAAAUAAAAAAGGUCGAUCUCAAAAAAGGUUUCGACAAUCAUAUUAUCUCAUAAUUAGAAUCCACAAUAUUGAUUCAAGUUAAAAUGUCAAGUCACUAAACUUAUCAAAAAUUCAUAACCAUAAACAACCCUUUGUUCAAUUUCUCGUGUUCUCUCUCUCUCUCUCUCUCUCUCUCUCUCUCUCUCUCUCUCUUUCUCUCUCUAAACAAAGGAAAUGAAAUAUUUGUCUAGGGUGUUGCUAAAUUUUUUUACACGAAUAAGGAUGAUAACCUAAGCACCCCACGAAAAUAGAUGACAACCCAAACACCUAACUUCUAAGACCAGUGGAGUAAGUGAAUGGCUUAGAACAUCACUCAAUUUUUUUACACGAAAAUAGAUGACAACCCAAACACCUAACUUGUGUUACUCAAUCGAUCACAGUUUUAAGAUUAUACUUUUAAUCUAAAUAGUUAGUUGGGUAUUUGUUGAUUUUUUUAUUUUUUUUCUUUUAUUUUUCAAUUUUAUUAAAGUGCCUUUAUUUAAUGUUGUUGGCUCUACAAGGUCCAUCAUUCGUUCAAAUCAGAUUUCUAAUCCUAUUUCCUCUCACUCUUGAAGUUUCAUCAUUGGGCAUUCUCUUUUCCCUUUGUACUUGAGAGGCUUCAGUGCCUCCAUCUCAUUGACAACUUGUAACAAUAUGAUUUUAAGUGGUAUCAAAAAAUGUGGUUUCAAAAUUCUAUUUUUAUAAAUCGAGUCUGCAAAGAUGAAAUAUAAAAAUUAAUGAAAUUAGUAUAAAUAUAUAUUGAAGUUCAGUUAAGUAAUUUAAUCGAGAAAACUAUUAAUUAAAACUUAAGGAUUAAAUUGGAAAAGUUCAAUCGCUAUUGAGUUUUAAUUUAAAAAUACUUGAGGACCAAGAUAACAAUUAUUUAAAGGACAAAAAUGUUAAUAAACCAACUUUAAUCAUGAAAUAGUGGAGAAUGAUGAUUGCUUACACUUAAAUUAAUUUAUGAUUAAAAUGUGUAAGUUAAUCUCUUAAUUAACUAAAUCAAACAAGAUUAAUUAAACUAAAUUAACAUUAAUUAAAGUGUAUAUAUGUGUGUAUUUUAGCGGAAGGAAAAAUGAAAAAAACAUCCUCAUCAUCUUCCUCCACCGUCCACCAAAGUAAGUAAGAAAGAAAUGCUUCAAACCAUUCCAACAUUUGACUAUUAAUCAAGUAAGCUCCUUAAGCUAUUUUUAUUUUUAUUUUUAUGGAAUUUGAAUCAUGAGAGCUUGAUUCAAUUAGCCUGUGUAUCAAUUUAUUCAAUUUUUUAGUUUCUAGAAUUUUUCCAUUAAAAUGAAAUUGUACUUUCUAACAGACGAUUUUGAAUUCAAAUUCUGAGUUUGAAACAAGUGUUUUCGAACUUACAUUUUUCUAACAUUUGUGAGAGUUGUGUCAAAUAUUAUGCUUUUGAAACGCAUCCUAAGUGAGAUUAAGUCAAAAAAUUUUAAACAAAUUAAUAUAAUCGCUUAAAAUCUAACCAUAACAUCUAAGUCGGGUUUAAAAUGUUACAAUAAUAAUAUAAAAAUUACAUGUAAAAAUUAGCAUAUAUAUAUAUAUAUAUAAACAAUGACACCGUAAGUGAAAAUCUAUCUUUGAUCCUAACAAUUGUCGAAUCCACGUGAAACAUGGGAAAAAAGUAAGAUGAUGGUAGCAUAAAUGACAUCAAUGAAGUGAGGGCAUCACUUUCUAAAUUUAUAAUCUUUGGUUGCUUUUUGGUGAAAGCAAAAUCUGCACUUGACUUGGGGUCAAUAUUAUAUAUUAUCCUUUGUAAAUUAGAUAAGUAGAUGUCAUGAAAGAGACAAUAGCAAUUAUUGCUUUCUUUUUCUUUUGUGGAAAAUUUGAUCCUAAAAGCAAAGUUACUGCACUCAGUGGGUAAGGAAAUUGGGUUAACCUUACUUUCAAAUUAAUAAUUUAAAUAAGUAUGUGAAUUUGAGAUUUUAUUGUAUAAAAAAUUUAAUUUCACGUGAAACAUGUAAAAGAGAAAAAAGUAGGAUGAUGGUAGGCAUAAAUGACAUCAAUGAAGUGAGGGCAUCACUUUCUAAAUUUAUAAUCUUUGGUUGCUUUUUGGUGAAAGCAAAAUCUGCACUUGACUUGGGGUCAAUAUUAUAUAUUAUCCUUUGUAAAUUAGAUAAGUAGAUGUCAUGAAAGAGACAAUAGCAAUUAUUGCUUUCUUUUUCUUUUGUGGAAAAUUUGAUCCUAAAAGCAAAGUUACUGCACUCAGUGGGUAAGGAAAUUGGGUUAACCUUACUUUCAAAUUAAUAAUUUAAAUAAGUAUGUGAAUUUGAGAUUUUAUUGUAUAAAAAAUUUAAUUUCAUAAUUAAAAAUAUUUUAUUUAAAUAUAUAUAAAUAUAAUUAUAUUAUAUUAGUAAUUUUUAUUUUUUAAUAUUAAAAUUAAUUAUAAAUUUAUACUUUUAGAUCUAAUCGGGUCAAAAAUAAAUAUUAUUUCAUAAUUUUUACUUUUUCAUCACUAAUGUUCACUUUUACUAUUUUCAUUUAAAUAUUUUUUUAAUCCACAAAAGACUUGAAAUUGGGCUAUAAAUAGGAGUGGAGAGAGGAGAUGAACUCAACCUACUUAGCUAUACUCCAAAAUGAAGCCACUGUUUCUUUUAGUUUGUGUUCUCUUAGCUUCCUCUUUCUUUAUUCCCAUUUCCGCCAUGCCUAUCCAGGACCAGCCCUUGGGUAAGAUUCAGCAGCGAGUCUUUAUGUUUAUAUAUAGGACAUCCACAUAUAUAUAUAUAAUUAACAGUAUGCAUGGAUGGAUGGACAUAAUAUAUGAUUGUUGCAGGUGGUGAACGCAAAGGAAAUGAAUGUGGUCGUGGAAUCAAAUGCAUACCAAAGCCAACGCCACGGCCUACUAAGUGUAAAAGAAACAAUCCUUACUGCAGGCCUCCCUGAAUGUGGUAAAAAAUAAAGCUAUGGGCCUAUGGACGAUAUGGAUAUGGGUGAAGUUAUGCUAGUAAUAAAUUAACAAAUAAACAAAGUUUCCCCCCAUGCUUCAUGACCCAUGGCAAUUACCAAUGAAGUUCUUGUAAUGAUCAUAUCAUUACUUUCAUGACUACUAGUUUGUAUGUGUUAUGUUUAUGUUUAAUAAAUUAUGGAGUGUUUUUAUGUUGAAAAAUAUCAAGUACUACUUUGAUUGUGAUAGGUUUAUAUGUUUAUGUUUGAGGAAAUUAUUUCAAAAAUGAAAAUCACAUAAACCAUGAUUUGUACUCCGUUUCAAUUAUUGAUGUUGUAGAAACAAAUAACUUGGUCUGCAGUUGCUCAAAACAGUUUUGUUUUAUCUUCUGCCGGAACAAAAGUUGGAUAAAACUAGAAAGUUGGUGAGUCAAAGGGACAAGUAAAGGGAGAAUGAAUACACAAUAUUUGAGUUCAACUAUUUGCUAAAGCCCAAUUUUUACAAACCACUCCUCCCAAAUACUUUACAUUACAUACAAUAUCUCUCUAUAAAAGUCUAAACAAGGUGUGUCUAACACAUCCUUAAAAUAGCUAAAGAAUAAGUCAAUCAACAACCUAUUUACAGGCUCUCCUUCAACGUGAAUAUCGAUAGCUAGAAGAUGAGUCUUUAUUACAUGUUUAAAUGCUAAAAAUUAUCUUCAUAAGUUAUCUUAGAAAAAUAUUCAAAUAAAUCUCUCUAUAAAACAACCUUCCAUCAACUUGAAAACUCUUAAAAGAUAAAGGAUAAGGAUACUUCUUUCUUUCAUCUCCAAGGCUGUCGGUUGAACGAGGAUAAUUGCUCCAUAUUCUAUCAUGAAAUUAUCUCCUCGUUUGCUGGUUUAAAUCAGAUGUAAUCAAGGCUCUUUAUUGUCAAGAAUCCCAACCUGAAUGAACUUUCACUGAAAUAUGCACAUACUCUAAAAUAUGUCUAAAUAUUUGAUGAGACAAGAAAAGGUUCUAAAAUUGGUUUGAAUGGUCAAAUGCUCUAACAUAAAGCUUAAAAAUUUACAACAAAAUGACAUAAAAAAAAUAACAUUGAAAUUUGAUUUAUAAUAUUAGAAGUUUUGAAGAAGUGGUAAUUAAAUUAAUUAUUAGAAGUGGGAGAAUGAUGCUGGAGAAUCUGUCAAAUUUGAAACUUUUAGUAAGCUAUAAGGCACCAAAACUCCUACUUUUGCGUCGUUUUUAUUGUUAAAAAUUACUCACAAUUCUUUUAGGUAGCGUUUGAGAGUUAAAGGAUUUUAGAAUUUGGAUUUGAAUUUAAAAAAUAAUGCAAAUUGAGUACAUUUAUGUUUAUUUAAUCUAAGCUUUUGUUAGAAGCCUAUUUAUUAAUAAAUUUAAAAUCUUAAUUUUUUUUUGAAUUUGAUAAAUCCAUGCUUUUUUUUUUAAUAUAUAUUAGAUUGAAUUUUGACUAAUCUAUCUAUAAUAUAUGCGUUUCAUUCUUACUAGAGUUGUUCACGGGUCGGGACAUAACAAAAUUUUAGGUCCAAUUACUAGGCCUUGAUCUGACCCAAAAAAUGGGCUUAGAUUUUUCCUAAGUUGACUCGGAUAAAAAUGUAAAACUUGGACCCAGUCUGUAUUAAUUUUUUAAUUUAAUUUUUAUAUAAAUAAAUUUAAAAAUAUAAUACACCAAAUACAUUAAAAAUAUUAAAAUAAAAGUUUCCUAAGAAAUUUAAAAAAAAAUUAAAAAAAAAAGUCUUUAUACUUAAGUAACACUAAGAUAAGAGCAACUUAACAAGCAAAUGUUUCUAAAAUAGUAGCAAAAUUAACAAUAAAACAAGUAUUAUACAAUAUCCAAAUAUUAACAACAAAAUAAUAACAUAAUAGUGAAAUGGUAGCAAAACAGUGGGAAAAUAGCAGCAAAAGCAGUAGGUUUUUUUAUUGAAAAUCGGGUUGGGUCGGGUCGGGCCAAAAAAUCUUAUUCGAGGCUCGACCCGUUUUUCAAAUGGACUUUUUUUUUGUCCAAGUCUAUUUUCUGAGCCUAUAUUUUUUUUCUAAGUCCUCUCAUUUUUCGAGCGGACCUGACCCAGCCCAUAUACAACUCUAAUUCUUACCAUUUAUAUAAUAAAUGAGAUCUAAAUCCAAAUUUUCAAAUUCUGAAUUUCCAGAAGGAGGAUAAAUAUUUUAUUUGGAAUACUCCUCAACCAUCAAAAGCCCUAAAGAAAAUUCUAUCUUACAAUAUUUUCUAAAUUUUUCCUUCCAAGUUUCUUCAAUGUUACAUCAAUAGCAAGAGGAAGGCAAAAAACAAAGUUCAAGUCUUUCAAACUCUUCUAAAAUAGCAUCUUCAAGAUCUCCUGUAUCGAAAAGGCAAUUAUAGGGAGCCUCAACAAGUAAUGUUCUUGAAGUUGUUGAAAACCCAAUUGAUCCUCCACUAAUUAAAAUUGAACCUACUACUUGUCUAAAGGUAUUUGUUGCUAUGAAUCCUCAAAAACCUCUAGUACAUGACUUUUUUAUUAUUAUCUGAUUUAUUGUUCUACUUCUAAAAAACCAUGAUUGAAGAUUGAAAUCUCUUGGACACAAAGCAACAACAACUAAAGCAGUAGAAGAAGCCUUUGAGCACGUGCACACACACAAAAAAGAAAAACAACUGAUUAAGGAAAGACUUAUUCCAUUUCUAAUGAUAAUGUCCCAUUAUCAGACUUUGUGUCUAAUUAAACUGCCACGUAUAUAUAUAUAAAUUGAAAAGAGUAGGUGUUACUAAGUUAUUAAAAGAAUGUAGAUUGUACUUCUGAACUAAAGAAGUCAAAGUUCCUAAAUGUUAUUUGUACAAAAAAGAAUGAAAAUAAUGGUUGAUACACAUAUUAUAUGUUUAAAGCAAAUUAAUUUUUAUUAAUUUUUAAACUUUAUAUAAUUUAUAAAAAUCAUCUUGAAUUAAUAUGGACAAUGGGUUUUCUAGAUUUACAUUGUACAGGACAAAAAAAAAAUUUCAAAUUCAUUUUGGACUUCACUUCUAAAUGGGCUUUUAUUAAUUUUUAAUUUCUUUUUAAUUUCAUUUAAUAUUUUUUAUAAAUUUUAAUAAUAUUUUAUAUAUUUAUAAAAUUUUUAAAACAUUAAAACUUUAUAAAAAAAUUUAUAAUUUUUUUUUCUUAAAAUAAGCUUUGGAAUGAAUGAAUAUAGACAAUUGUAUGUCCAAAGUUAUUCUAGUAAAAAAUUUAAGUAUUCCUUUUAAUUUUUUAUUUUAUGAAAAUUGUAUUUUGCUGACAUGGCACAAUCUAAAAAUUCCAUACGUCUAGCACUUAACACCAUUACAAAAAUGAUACUAAAAUGGAAUGAAAAUUCGACACUAACUUACGAAAAAAUCAUAAAUACCAAUUUAAGAGAAAGUGACAAAUUCAAGAACUAAAUGAGUAUUUAAACUUAUUUAUAUUUAAAUCAAUUUAGACAUGCAUUAAAUUUCUAAUUGUGUUUAAAUGAUAAGAAAUGAAAAAGAAGAUAUAAAAUUUUGAUCGAAAAAUAAACAUAAAAUAAAAAUCACUUACAAUUAUAAAUAAAACCAUUGAUAAAUGUAUUAUGUUAAAUUCCAGGAUAGAUGAAAUAACAGAAAUGAGGUUGAAGCAUCAUUGAGCUCUCAUACAUUGAAUCCUUGAUCACGACGCUUGUGCCUCACCCCAAGGCCUGACGCGCGUCUGUCGCCUUGCACCAAAAGAACAAAGGGCGUCUCUUCUCUCCCCUCCAUUGACUUUGCCGAUGUCUGCAAAAAAAAAAAAAAAGACAAAGAAAGAACACAGAAACGGCAAGACAAUAGCAGCAGAAACAGUAACAAAUUUGAAUAAUAAACAGUCUAAUAUGGCUAUAAAAGUCAUUACGUAUUAUUUUUUACAGGCAAUCGAAUAAAAAAAACAGAGAAAUAAAUAAAAGAGAAGAUUUCAAAAAAUAUAAAGGUAGUUAUAUAUAUAUAUAUAUAUGGUUUGAAAAGCUAUAAUAAAUACAUAAAAAAUAGAGAGAGAGGGGGAGGAUUCUCACUUGUCGUUCCACCUUUCGCCACCGUCGAGGACAACCUUCGGCACCUCAAAUGUCUCAUAACCCAUUAGGGUUUUGACUUCCGACGAAGGUCUGGAACGUGGCGCGACUGAAGGUUUUCCUUCGUGAUUCUUUUUCUUUUUUUUUAUUUCAAAAAAUAUUCGGUUGGAUCUGUUUUCUUUUAAUAACUUUUAGAAAGGGACUAAAAGUAAUUUUUUUAUUUUCCGGCCACGAAGGAGGCACAGUGGAGGCUCGCCGGCAUCCGGGCCGAAGAUGGGGAGAACCGAGAGAGAAAGAGAGAACUCUCAGGUUUUUUUUAAAAAACAAAGACAUAAUGAUUUUUUUUAAAGAUUUUUAGCUUUUAUAGGAGAUGUAAAACGACGUCAUCUAGGGCUGGUUUCAAUAGCACGAAAACGGCGCCGUGUUGGCCUUCGACCUGAUUGCCUGUUCCAAGACCUUAGGAUCCGCGUGUUUUUUGUGACUAGGGUAUAAUUGGACAUUAGUCCUUCCAAUUUUUAAGCAGUUUCCAAUGUGGUCUUGUUUCUUUUUUAAUUUAACCAUUUGAUUUUAUCUUAAUUUCAUUUUUGGUCCUUGGCCAUUUUAAGAGAGGGAUACCUGAAACAGAGUCGUUUCAGUUGACUCGAGACCCAACCUGAGAUCCGACCCGAUCCUUUAAUAGGAUCCGCGUGUUUUUAAAAAAGGGGCCUAUUUGCGCUUUCAACCUUCUUCCUUUUAAGUCAUUUUAAUUAGGUCCUAAUUUCACUAUUUUCUUUUUUAGAAAGUUUCCAUUUAAUUUUACACCGCUUUCAACUAAGUCCUCGAAUCGCUGAAGGUACGCGUGUCCUUAGGAUUGGGAUAAUUCCUCAAUUGGUCCUUGUUUGUUUUCACACUUUUCAUUUUAGUAUGUUAUUUAUUUAUUUAUUUUAUCUUAAUUCAUUCUUUUAAUUUAAUUUAAAUGACAAUUAGACCCUUUAUUUAUUUUAAUUCUUUUAAUUAUUUACUUGUUUGCUUAUUUAUUAUUCCUUCACUUUUGGUUUAUGUUUAAAAUUGUAUUUCUUAUUAUUUUCUUUUCAUCGAGCAUUUAUUUAUUUAUUCAUUUUAUUUUAUUAUUUAUUUAUUUAUUUACUUAUUAUUCCUUUGUAUACAUGCAUAAGAAUUGGAUUGUGCAUAUGCUUUUAUUGGUACAUUUUUGUUUAUUACUAUCAUUCAUUGUUUUAUUUUUAUUUUUAAGCAUGUUAUUGUUAUUUUAUUUCUCUCAGCAUUUUUAUGUCAUGUCCAUUUAUCUUUUUAAUCAUGCAUCGUCCAUUUUUUAUUUACCUUAAAAUACUUCAUUUAAUCAUUAUUACUAUAAUACGAUUAUUAAUAUUAAUAGUAUUAUUAUAAUUAUGUUAUUAUAAUAAUAUUCUUUUAUUUCACUUAUUAUUUAUUAUUCUAUCUACAUAGUUGUUUUAAAUUAUCUCAUUUUCACCAUAUCAUACAUUAAGGUUCAAACAUUUAUCCAUUUGUAUAUCAUGCCCGAAUAAAUUAAAAACACAUCACCUUAAGUGUUUGUUUUUUUACACGAUGCAUAAAAAAAGAAUUUUUUUUAAACCGAGGCAAAUGUUCAUUAUUUCGAAUUUAGAAAAGUUGUGUUCCUAACGUACAGAAUAUGACUUCCUUCUAAAACCGAGAUAGUUGAAUAUUUAUUUUAAAAUAAAUAAAAACGAGAUUUAAGUAAUGAUCAAUUGGUGUUUAUUCUCGUUUUCGAGGUUUUAAGGCAUUGUGUCCUAACACACGGGACGUGAUCCUUUUUCUCGAUUAACUUGAAAUAAGCCCUUCUUGAGAAAAUUACUUUGGUUAGAUAAUGCCUUAAUACAAAAAGGAUCGUGUUUUAAACUCUUUUCAAAUUUUCAAUUCACAACACUAAGACAUUAAUAAAUCAACUAGGUACCAAUUUUGGGUGUUACGAGGGUGCUAAUCCUUCCUCAUGCAUAACCGACUUCCGAACCCAUUUUUUGAAUCUUGUAGACAAAAAAUCAUUAUUUUAGUAAAUCAAACCAUUUAUUAAAACGAUCAAAUUACGAGGUGAUCCAAUCACACACACCUCAUAAAAAGGGAUCGGUGGAGACUCCCAUUUUCGUCUUUUUCUUAAAAUAAAAAAGGUCGAUCUCAAAAAAGGUUUCGACAAUCAUAUUAUCUCAUAAUUAGAAUCCACAAUAUUGAUUCAAGUUAAAAUGUCAAGUCACUAAACUUAUCAAAAAUUCAUAACCAUAAACAACCCUUUGUUCAAUUUCUCGUGUUCUCUCUCUCUCUCUCUCUCUCUCUCUCUCUCUCUCUCUCUCUUUCUCUCUCUAAACAAAGGAAAUGAAAUAUUUGUCUAGGGUGUUGCUAAAUUUUUUUACACGAAUAAGGAUGAUAACCUAAGCACCCCACGAAAAUAGAUGACAACCCAAACACCUAACUUCUAAGACCAGUGGAGUAAGUGAAUGGCUUAGAACAUCACUCAAUUUUUUUACACGAAAAUAGAUGACAACCCAAACACCUAACUUGUGUUACUCAAUCGAUCACAGUUUUAAGAUUAUACUUUUAAUCUAAAUAGUUAGUUGGGUAUUUGUUGAUUUUUUUAUUUUUUUUCUUUUAUUUUUCAAUUUUAUUAAAGUGCCUUUAUUUAAUGUUGUUGGCUCUACAAGGUCCAUCAUUCGUUCAAAUCAGAUUUCUAAUCCUAUUUCCUCUCACUCUUGAAGUUUCAUCAUUGGGCAUUCUCUUUUCCCUUUGUACUUGAGAGGCUUCAGUGCCUCCAUCUCAUUGACAACUUGUAACAAUAUGAUUUUAAGUGGUAUCAAAAAAUGUGGUUUCAAAAUUCUAUUUUUAUAAAUCGAGUCUGCAAAGAUGAAAUAUAAAAAUUAAUGAAAUUAGUAUAAAUAUAUAUUGAAGUUCAGUUAAGUAAUUUAAUCGAGAAAACUAUUAAUUAAAACUUAAGGAUUAAAUUGGAAAAGUUCAAUCGCUAUUGAGUUUUAAUUUAAAAAUACUUGAGGACCAAGAUAACAAUUAUUUAAAGGACAAAAAUGUUAAUAAACCAACUUUAAUCAUGAAAUAGUGGAGAAUGAUGAUUGCUUACACUUAAAUUAAUUUAUGAUUAAAAUGUGUAAGUUAAUCUCUUAAUUAACUAAAUCAAACAAGAUUAAUUAAACUAAAUUAACAUUAAUUAAAGUGUAUAUAUGUGUGUAUUUUAGCGGAAGGAAAAAUGAAAAAAACAUCCUCAUCAUCUUCCUCCACCGUCCACCAAAGUAAGUAAGAAAGAAAUGCUUCAAACCAUUCCAACAUUUGACUAUUAAUCAAGUAAGCUCCUUAAGCUAUUUUUAUUUUUAUUUUUAUGGAAUUUGAAUCAUGAGAGCUUGAUUCAAUUAGCCUGUGUAUCAAUUUAUUCAAUUUUUUAGUUUCUAGAAUUUUUCCAUUAAAAUGAAAUUGUACUUUCUAACAGACGAUUUUGAAUUCAAAUUCUGAGUUUGAAACAAGUGUUUUCGAACUUACAUUUUUCUAACAUUUGUGAGAGUUGUGUCAAAUAUUAUGCUUUUGAAACGCAUCCUAAGUGAGAUUAAGUCAAAAAAUUUUAAACAAAUUAAUAUAAUCGCUUAAAAUCUAACCAUAACAUCUAAGUCGGGUUUAAAAUGUUACAAUAAUAAUAUAAAAAUUACAUGUAAAAAUUAGCAUAUAUAUAUAUAUAUAAACAAUGACACCGUAAGUGAAAAUCUAUCUUUGAUCCUAACAAUUGUCGAAUCCACGUGAAACAUGGGAAAAAAGUAAGAUGAUGGUAGCAUAAAUGACAUCAAUGAAGUGAGGGCAUCACUUUCUAAAUUUAUAAUCUUUGGUUGCUUUUUGGUGAAAGCAAAAUCUGCACUUGACUUGGGGUCAAUAUUAUAUAUUAUCCUUUGUAAAUUAGAUAAGUAGAUGUCAUGAAAGAGACAAUAGCAAUUAUUGCUUUCUUUUUCUUUUGUGGAAAAUUUGAUCCUAAAAGCAAAGUUACUGCACUCAGUGGGUAAGGAAAUUGGGUUAACCUUACUUUCAAAUUAAUAAUUUAAAUAAGUAUGUGAAUUUGAGAUUUUAUUGUAUAAAAAAUUUAAUUUCACGUGAAACAUGUAAAAGAGAAAAAAGUAGGAUGAUGGUAGGCAUAAAUGACAUCAAUGAAGUGAGGGCAUCACUUUCUAAAUUUAUAAUCUUUGGUUGCUUUUUGGUGAAAGCAAAAUCUGCACUUGACUUGGGGUCAAUAUUAUAUAUUAUCCUUUGUAAAUUAGAUAAGUAGAUGUCAUGAAAGAGACAAUAGCAAUUAUUGCUUUCUUUUUCUUUUGUGGAAAAUUUGAUCCUAAAAGCAAAGUUACUGCACUCAGUGGGUAAGGAAAUUGGGUUAACCUUACUUUCAAAUUAAUAAUUUAAAUAAGUAUGUGAAUUUGAGAUUUUAUUGUAUAAAAAAUUUAAUUUCAUAAUUAAAAAUAUUUUAUUUAAAUAUAUAUAAAUAUAAUUAUAUUAUAUUAGUAAUUUUUAUUUUUUAAUAUUAAAAUUAAUUAUAAAUUUAUACUUUUAGAUCUAAUCGGGUCAAAAAUAAAUAUUAUUUCAUAAUUUUUACUUUUUCAUCACUAAUGUUCACUUUUACUAUUUUCAUUUAAAUAUUUUUUUAAUCCACAAAAGACUUGAAAUUGGGCUAUAAAUAGGAGUGGAGAGAGGAGAUGAACUCAACCUACUUAGCUAUACUCCAAAAUGAAGCCACUGUUUCUUUUAGUUUGUGUUCUCUUAGCUUCCUCUUUCUUUAUUCCCAUUUCCGCCAUGCCUAUCCAGGACCAGCCCUUGGGUAAGAUUCAGCAGCGAGUCUUUAUGUUUAUAUAUAGGACAUCCACAUAUAUAUAUAUAAUUAACAGUAUGCAUGGAUGGAUGGACAUAAUAUAUGAUUGUUGCAGGUGGUGAACGCAAAGGAAAUGAAUGUGGUCGUGGAAUCAAAUGCAUACCAAAGCCAACGCCACGGCCUACUAAGUGUAAAAGAAACAAUCCUUACUGCAGGCCUCCCUGAAUGUGGUAAAAAAUAAAGCUAUGGGCCUAUGGACGAUAUGGAUAUGGGUGAAGUUAUGCUAGUAAUAAAUUAACAAAUAAACAAAGUUUCCCCCCAUGCUUCAUGACCCAUGGCAAUUACCAAUGAAGUUCUUGUAAUGAUCAUAUCAUUACUUUCAUGACUACUAGUUUGUAUGUGUUAUGUUUAUGUUUAAUAAAUUAUGGAGUGUUUUUAUGUUGAAAAAUAUCAAGUACUACUUUGAUUGUGAUAGGUUUAUAUGUUUAUGUUUGAGGAAAUUAUUUCAAAAAUGAAAAUCACAUAAACCAUGAUUUGUACUCCGUUUCAAUUAUUGAUGUUGUAGAAACAAAUAACUUGGUCUGCAGUUGCUCAAAACAGUUUUGUUUUAUCUUCUGCCGGAACAAAAGUUGGAUAAAACUAGAAAGUUGGUGAGUCAAAGGGACAAGUAAAGGGAGAAUGAAUACACAAUAUUUGAGUUCAACUAUUUGCUAAAGCCCAAUUUUUACAAACCACUCCUCCCAAAUACUUUACAUUACAUACAAUAUCUCUCUAUAAAAGUCUAAACAAGGUGUGUCUAACACAUCCUUAAAAUAGCUAAAGAAUAAGUCAAUCAACAACCUAUUUACAGGCUCUCCUUCAACGUGAAUAUCGAUAGCUAGAAGAUGAGUCUUUAUUACAUGUUUAAAUGCUAAAAAUUAUCUUCAUAAGUUAUCUUAGAAAAAUAUUCAAAUAAAUCUCUCUAUAAAACAACCUUCCAUCAACUUGAAAACUCUUAAAAGAUAAAGGAUAAGGAUACUUCUUUCUUUCAUCUCCAAGGCUGUCGGUUGAACGAGGAUAAUUGCUCCAUAUUCUAUCAUGAAAUUAUCUCCUCGUUUGCUGGUUUAAAUCAGAUGUAAUCAAGGCUCUUUAUUGUCAAGAAUCCCAACCUGAAUGAACUUUCACUGAAAUAUGCACAUACUCUAAAAUAUGUCUAAAUAUUUGAUGAGACAAGAAAAGGUUCUAAAAUUGGUUUGAAUGGUCAAAUGCUCUAACAUAAAGCUUAAAAAUUUACAACAAAAUGACAUAAAAAAAAUAACAUUGAAAUUUGAUUUAUAAUAUUAGAAGUUUUGAAGAAGUGGUAAUUAAAUUAAUUAUUAGAAGUGGGAGAAUGAUGCUGGAGAAUCUGUCAAAUUUGAAACUUUUAGUAAGCUAUAAGGCACCAAAACUCCUACUUUUGCGUCGUUUUUAUUGUUAAAAAUUACUCACAAUUCUUUUAGGUAGCGUUUGAGAGUUAAAGGAUUUUAGAAUUUGGAUUUGAAUUUAAAAAAUAAUGCAAAUUGAGUACAUUUAUGUUUAUUUAAUCUAAGCUUUUGUUAGAAGCCUAUUUAUUAAUAAAUUUAAAAUCUUAAUUUUUUUUUGAAUUUGAUAAAUCCAUGCUUUUUUUUUUAAUAUAUAUUAGAUUGAAUUUUGACUAAUCUAUCUAUAAUAUAUGCGUUUCAUUCUUACUAGAGUUGUUCACGGGUCGGGACAUAACAAAAUUUUAGGUCCAAUUACUAGGCCUUGAUCUGACCCAAAAAAUGGGCUUAGAUUUUUCCUAAGUUGACUCGGAUAAAAAUGUAAAACUUGGACCCAGUCUGUAUUAAUUUUUUAAUUUAAUUUUUAUAUAAAUAAAUUUAAAAAUAUAAUACACCAAAUACAUUAAAAAUAUUAAAAUAAAAGUUUCCUAAGAAAUUUAAAAAAAAAUUAAAAAAAAAAGUCUUUAUACUUAAGUAACACUAAGAUAAGAGCAACUUAACAAGCAAAUGUUUCUAAAAUAGUAGCAAAAUUAACAAUAAAACAAGUAUUAUACAAUAUCCAAAUAUUAACAACAAAAUAAUAACAUAAUAGUGAAAUGGUAGCAAAACAGUGGGAAAAUAGCAGCAAAAGCAGUAGGUUUUUUUAUUGAAAAUCGGGUUGGGUCGGGUCGGGCCAAAAAAUCUUAUUCGAGGCUCGACCCGUUUUUCAAAUGGACUUUUUUUUUGUCCAAGUCUAUUUUCUGAGCCUAUAUUUUUUUUCUAAGUCCUCUCAUUUUUCGAGCGGACCUGACCCAGCCCAUAUACAACUCUAAUUCUUACCAUUUAUAUAAUAAAUGAGAUCUAAAUCCAAAUUUUCAAAUUCUGAAUUUCCAGAAGGAGGAUAAAUAUUUUAUUUGGAAUACUCCUCAACCAUCAAAAGCCCUAAAGAAAAUUCUAUCUUACAAUAUUUUCUAAAUUUUUCCUUCCAAGUUUCUUCAAUGUUACAUCAAUAGCAAGAGGAAGGCAAAAAACAAAGUUCAAGUCUUUCAAACUCUUCUAAAAUAGCAUCUUCAAGAUCUCCUGUAUCGAAAAGGCAAUUAUAGGGAGCCUCAACAAGUAAUGUUCUUGAAGUUGUUGAAAACCCAAUUGAUCCUCCACUAAUUAAAAUUGAACCUACUACUUGUCUAAAGGUAUUUGUUGCUAUGAAUCCUCAAAAACCUCUAGUACAUGACUUUUUUAUUAUUAUCUGAUUUAUUGUUCUACUUCUAAAAAACCAUGAUUGAAGAUUGAAAUCUCUUGGACACAAAGCAACAACAACUAAAGCAGUAGAAGAAGCCUUUGAGCACGUGCACACACACAAAAAAGAAAAACAACUGAUUAAGGAAAGACUUAUUCCAUUUCUAAUGAUAAUGUCCCAUUAUCAGACUUUGUGUCUAAUUAAACUGCCACGUAUAUAUAUAUAAAUUGAAAAGAGUAGGUGUUACUAAGUUAUUAAAAGAAUGUAGAUUGUACUUCUGAACUAAAGAAGUCAAAGUUCCUAAAUGUUAUUUGUACAAAAAAGAAUGAAAAUAAUGGUUGAUACACAUAUUAUAUGUUUAAAGCAAAUUAAUUUUUAUUAAUUUUUAAACUUUAUAUAAUUUAUAAAAAUCAUCUUGAAUUAAUAUGGACAAUGGGUUUUCUAGAUUUACAUUGUACAGGACAAAAAAAAAAUUUCAAAUUCAUUUUGGACUUCACUUCUAAAUGGGCUUUUAUUAAUUUUUAAUUUCUUUUUAAUUUCAUUUAAUAUUUUUUAUAAAUUUUAAUAAUAUUUUAUAUAUUUAUAAAAUUUUUAAAACAUUAAAACUUUAUAAAAAAAUUUAUAAUUUUUUUUUCUUAAAAUAAGCUUUGGAAUGAAUGAAUAUAGACAAUUGUAUGUCCAAAGUUAUUCUAGUAAAAAAUUUAAGUAUUCCUUUUAAUUUUUUAUUUUAUGAAAAUUGUAUUUUGCUGACAUGGCACAAUCUAAAAAUUCCAUACGUCUAGCACUUAACACCAUUACAAAAAUGAUACUAAAAUGGAAUGAAAAUUCGACACUAACUUACGAAAAAAUCAUAAAUACCAAUUUAAGAGAAAGUGACAAAUUCAAGAACUAAAUGAGUAUUUAAACUUAUUUAUAUUUAAAUCAAUUUAGACAUGCAUUAAAUUUCUAAUUGUGUUUAAAUGAUAAGAAAUGAAAAAGAAGAUAUAAAAUUUUGAUCGAAAAAUAAACAUAAAAUAAAAAUCACUUACAAUUAUAAAUAAAACCAUUGAUAAAUGUAUUAUGUUAAAUUCCAGGAUAGAUGAAAUAACAGAAAUGAGGUUGAAGCAUCAUUGAGCUCUCAUACAUUGAAUCCUUGAUCACGACGCUUGUGCCUCACCCCAAGGCCUGACGCGCGUCUGUCGCCUUGCACCAAAAGAACAAAGGGCGUCUCUUCUCUCCCCUCCAUUGACUUUGCCGAUGUCUGCAAAAAAAAAAAAAAAAGACAAAGAAAGAACACAGAAACGGCAAGACAAUAGCAGCAGAAACAGUAACAAAUUUGAAUAAUAAACAGUCUAAUAUGGCUAUAAAAGUCAUUACGUAUUAUUUUUUACAGGCAAUCGAAUAAAAAAAACAGAGAAAUAAAUAAAAGAGAAGAUUUCAAAAAAUAUAAAGGUAGUUAUAUAUAUAUAUAUAUGGUUUGAAAAGCUAUAAUAAAUACAUAAAAAAUAGAGAGAGAGGGGGAGGAUUCUCACUUGUCGUUCCACCUUUCGCCACCGUCGAGGACAACCUUCGGCACCUCAAAUGUCUCAUAACCCAUUAGGGUUUUGACUUCCGACGAAGGUCUGGAACGUGGCGCGACUGAAGGUUUUCCUUCGUGAUUCUUUUUCUUUUUUUUUAUUUCAAAAAAUAUUCGGUUGGAUCUGUUUUCUUUUAAUAACUUUUAGAAAGGGACUAAAAGUAAUUUUUUUAUUUUCCGGCCACGAAGGAGGCACAGUGGAGGCUCGCCGGCAUCCGGGCCGAAGAUGGGGAGAACCGAGAGAGAAAGAGAGAACUCUCAGGUUUUUUUUAAAAAACAAAGACAUAAUGAUUUUUUUUAAAGAUUUUUAGCUUUUAUAGGAGAUGUAAAACGACGUCAUCUAGGGCUGGUUUCAAUAGCACGAAAACGGCGCCGUGUUGGCCUUCGACCUGAUUGCCUGUUCCAAGACCUUAGGAUCCGCGUGUUUUUUGUGACUAGGGUAUAAUUGGACAUUAGUCCUUCCAAUUUUUAAGCAGUUUCCAAUGUGGUCCUGUUUCUUUUUUAAUUUAACCAUUUGAUUUUAUCUUAAUUUCAUUUUUGGUCCUUGGCCAUUUUAAGAGAGGGAUACCUGAAACAGAGUCGUUUCAGUUGACUCGAGACCCAACCUGAGAUCCGACCCGAUCCUUUAAUAGGAUCCGCGUGUUUUUAAAAAAGGGGCCUAUUUGCGCUUUCAACCUUCUUCCUUUUAAGUCAUUUUAAUUAGGUCCUAAUUUCACUAUUUUCUUUUUUAGAAAGUUUCCAUUUAAUUUUACACCGCUUUCAACUAAGUCCUCGAAUCGCUGAAGGUACGCGUGUCCUUAGGAUUGGGAUAAUUCCUCAAUUGGUCCUUGUUUGUUUUCACACUUUUCAUUUUAGUAUGUUAUUUAUUUAUUUAUUUUAUCUUAAUUCAUUCUUUUAAUUUAAUUUAAAUGACAAUUAGACCCUUUAUUUAUUUUAAUUCUUUUAAUUAUUUACUUGUUUGCUUAUUUAUUAUUCCUUCACUUUUGGUUUAUGUUUAAAAUUGUAUUUCUUAUUAUUUUCUUUUCAUCGAGCAUUUAUUUAUUUAUUCAUUUUAUUUUAUUAUUUAUUUAUUUAUUUACUUAUUAUUCCUUUGUAUACAUGCAUAAGAAUUGGAUUGUGCAUAUGCUUUUAUUGGUACAUUUUUGUUUAUUACUAUCAUUCAUUGUUUUAUUUUUAUUUUUAAGCAUGUUAUUGUUAUUUUAUUUCUCUCAGCAUUUUUAUGUCAUGUCCAUUUAUCUUUUUAAUCAUGCAUCGUCCAUUUUUUAUUUACCUUAAAAUACUUCAUUUAAUCAUUAUUACUAUAAUACGAUUAUUAAUAUUAAUAGUAUUAUUAUAAUUAUGUUAUUAUAAUAAUAUUCUUUUAUUUCACUUAUUAUUUAUUAUUCUAUCUACAUAGUUGUUUUAAAUUAUCUCAUUUUCACCAUAUCAUACAUUAAGGUUCAAACAUUUAUCCAUUUGUAUAUCAUGCCCGAAUAAAUUAAAAACACAUCACCUUAAGUGUUUGUUUUUUUACACGAUGCAUAAAAAAAGAAUUUUUUUUAAACCGAGGCAAAUGUUCAUUAUUUCGAAUUUAGAAAAGUUGUGUUCCUAACGUACAGAAUAUGACUUCCUUCUAAAACCGAGAUAGUUGAAUAUUUAUUUUAAAAUAAAUAAAAACGAGAUUUAAGUAAUGAUCAAUUGGUGUUUAUUCUCGUUUUCGAGGUUUUAAGGCAUUGUGUCCUAACACACGGGACGUGAUCCUUUUUCUCGAUUAAUUUGAAAUAAGCCCUUCUUGAGAAAAUUACUUUGGUUAGAUAAUGCCUUAAUACAAAAAGGAUCGUGUUUUAAACUCUUUUCAAAUUUUCAAUUCACAACACUAAGACAUUAAUAAAUCAACUAGGUACCAAUUUUGGGUGUUACGAGGGUGCUAAUCCUUCCUCAUGCAUAACCGACUUCCGAACCCAUUUUUUGAAUCUUGUAGACAAAAAAUCAUUAUUUUAGUAAAUCAAACCAUUUAUUAAAACGAUCAAAUUACGAGGUGAUCCAAUCACACACACCUCAUAAAAAGGGAUCGGUGGAGACUCCCAUUUUCGUCUUUUUCUUAAAAUAAAAAAGGUCGAUCUCAAAAAAGGUUUCGACAAUCAUAUUAUCUCAUAAUUAGAAUCCACAAUAUUGAUUCAAGUUAAAAUGUCAAGUCACUAAACUUAUCAAAAAUUCAUAACCAUAAACAACCCUUUGUUCAAUUUCUCGUGUUCUCUCUCUCUCUCUCUCUCUCUCUCUCUCUCUCUCUCUCAACAAAGGAAAUGAAAUAUUUGUCUAGAGUGUUGCUAAAUUUUUUUACACGAAUAAGGAUGAUAACCUAAGCACCCCACGAAAAUAGAUGACAACCCAAACACCUAACUUCUAAGACCAGUGGAGUAAGUGAAUGGCUUAGAACGUCACUCAAUUUUUUUACACGAAAAUAGAUGACAACCCAAACACCUAACUUGUGUUACUCAAUCGAUCACAGUUUUAAGAUUAUACUUUUAAUCUAAAUAGUUAGUUGGGUAUUUGUUGAUUUUUUUAUUUUUUUUCUUUUAUUUUUCAAUUUUAUUAAAGUGCCUUUAUUUAAUGUUGUUGGCUCUACAAGGUCCAUCAUUCGUUCAAAUCAGAUUUCUAAUCCUAUUUCCUCUCACUCUUGAAGUUUCAUCAUUGGGCAUUCUCUUUUCCCUUUGUACUUGAGAGGCUUCAGUGCCUCCAUCUCAUUGACAACUUGUAACAAUAUGAUUUUAAGUGGUAUCAAAAAAUGUGGUUUCAAAAUUCUAUUUUUAUAAAUCGAGUCUGCAAAGAUGAAAUAUAAAAAUUAAUGAAAUUAGUAUAAAUAUAUAUUGAAGUUCAGUUAAGUAAUUUAAUCGAGAAAACUAUUAAUUAAAACUUAAGGAUUAAAUUGGAAAAGUUCAAUCGCUAUUGAGUUUUAAUUUAAAAAUACUUGAGGACCAAGAUAACAAUUAUUUAAAGGACAAAAAUGUUAAUAAACCAACUUUAAUCAUGAAAUAGUGGAGAAUGAUGAUUGCUUACACUUAAAUUAAUUUAUGAUUAAAAUGUGUAAGUUAAUCUCUUAAUUAACUAAAUCAAACAAGAUUAAUUAAACUAAAUUAACAUUAAUUAAAGUGUAUAUAUGUGUGUAUUUUAGCGGAAGGAAAAAUGAAAAAAACAUCCUCAUCAUCUUCCUCCACCGUCCACCAAAGUAAGUAAGAAAGAAAUGCUUCAAACCAUUCCAACAUUUGACUAUUAAUCAAGUAAGCUCCUUAAGCUAUUUUUAUUUUUAUUUUUAUGGAAUUUGAAUCAUGAGAGCUUGAUUCAAUUAGCCUGUGUAUCAAUUUAUUCAAUUUUUUAGUUUCUAGAAUUUUUCCAUUAAAAUGAAAUUGUACUUUCUAACAGACGAUUUUGAAUUCAAAUUCUGAGUUUGAAACAAGUGUUUUCGAACUUACAUUUUUCUAACAUUUGUGAGAGUUGUGUCAAAUAUUAUGCUUUUGAAACGCAUCCUAAGUGAGAUUAAGUCAAAAAAUUUUAAACAAAUUAAUAUAAUCGCUUAAAAUCUAACCAUAACAUCUAAGUCGGGUUUAAAAUGUUACAAUAAUAAUAUAAAAAUUACAUGUAAAAAUUAGCAUAUAUAUAUAUAUAUAUAUAUAAACAAUGACACCGUAAGUGAAAAUCUAUCUUUGAUCCUAACAAUUGUCGAAUCCACGUGAAACAUGGGAAAAAAGUAAGAUGAUGGUAGCAUAAAUGACAUCAAUGAAGUGAGGGCAUCACUUUCUAAAUUUAUAAUCUUUGGUUGCUUUUUGGUGAAAGCAAAAUCUGCACUUGACUUGGGGUCAAUAUUAUAUAUUAUCCUUUGUAAAUUAGAUAAGUAGAUGUCAUGAAAGAGACAAUAGCAAUUAUUGCUUUCUUUUUCUUUUGUGGAAAAUUUGAUCCUAAAAGCAAAGUUACUGCACUCAGUGGGUAAGGAAAUUGGGUUAACCUUACUUUCAAAUUAAUAAUUUAAAUAAGUAUGUGAAUUUGAGAUUUUAUUGUAUAAAAAAUUUAAUUUCACGUGAAACAUGUAAAAGAGAAAAAAGUAGGAUGAUGGUAGGCAUAAAUGACAUCAAUGAAGUGAGGGCAUCACUUUCUAAAUUUAUAAUCUUUGGUUGCUGUUUGGUGAAAGCAAAAUCUGCAGUUGACUUGGGGUCAACAUUAUGUAUUUUCCUUUAAAUUAGAUAAAUAGAUGUCAUGAAAGAGACAAUAGCAAUCAUUGCUUUCUUUUUCUUUUGUGGAAAAUUGGAUCCUAAAAGCAUAGUUAGUUUGUGCACUCAAUAUAAAGAAUUUAUUAAUUUAGAGUUUGAAAUGUUAUUAUAUAAAAAAUUUUGAUUCAAUGUAAAUAAUUAUUUAUUAAUUAAUUUUUUUAUUUACUAUAAAACAUAUUAUAUCAAUACUUUUAAUUUUUUUAAUAUUAAAAUUAAUUGUAACCUUGUACUCUCUCGGGUCAAAAACAAAUUAUCACAGAAAAAUUUUGAGUUCUUAUCUCAAAUUUAUUAGCUACACAAUUACCAUAUAACAAAAUUUACACAAACAUAAAAUAUUUUAAAUAUAAAUAUAAUAUGAUAAAAUAUACAUACAUAAAUUACAAAAUUAUAUAAAAUGGCAUAGCUUUAUUUAAUAGCAGUGCCCACAUGAAGUUACUGACAUGAUUUCAUCAGUAAUAUUCACUUUUACCUUUUUUUUAAAUAUUUUUUUCAUCCACAAAAGACUUGAAAUUGGGCUAUAAAUAGGAGUGGAGAGAGGAGACGAAGUAAACCUACUUAGCUAUAAUCCAAAAUGAAGCCAUUGUUUCUUUUAGUUUGUGUUCUCUUAGCUUCCUCUUUCUUUAUUCCCUUGUCUGCCAUGCCUAUCCAGAACCAAUCCUUGGGUAAGAUUCAGCAGUUAGUCUUUAUGUUUAUAUAUAGGACAUCCAUAGAUAUAUAUAUAUAAUUAACAAUAUGCAUGGGUGGACAUAAUAUAUGAUUGCUGCAGGUGGUAAACGCAAUGAAAUUGGAUGUGGUCGUAGAAUGAAAUGCACACCAAAGGCAGCGCCUCGUAAGUGUAAAAGUCCUUACAGCAAGUCAUGCAACCCGCCCUGAAUGUGGUAGAAAAUAAAGCUAUGGACCUAUGGAUGCUAUGUUAUUAUGUCUAUGCCUAUGGAUAUGGAUAUGGGUAAAGUUAUGCUAAUAAUAAAUUAACAAAUAAAUAAAGUUUCCCCCAUGCCUCAUGGCCCAUGGCAAUGACCACAUCAUCAUCAAUGAAGUUCUUGCAAUGAUCGUAUCAUUACUUUCAUGACUACUAGUUUGUAUGUGUUAUGUUUA